rnacentral:rRNA from 1 species
UUACGGGGGGCAGCAGUGGGGAAUAUUGCACAAUGGAGGAAACUCUGAUGCAGCAACGCCGCGUGGAGGAUGACACUUUUCGGAGCGUAAACUCCUUUUAUAUAGGAAGAAGAUGACGGUACUAUAUGAAUAAGCGCCGGCUAACUCCGUGCCAGCAGCCGCGGUAAUACGGAGGGCGCAAGCGUUACUCGGAAUCACUGGGCGUAAAGAGCGUGUAGGCGGAUUAAAAAGUCAGAAGUGAAAUCCUAUAGCUUAACUAUAGAACUGCUUCUGAAACUCUUAAUCUAGAAUAUGGGAGAGGUAGAUGGAAUUUCUGGUGUAGGGGUAAAAUCCGUAGAGAUCAGAAGGAAUACCGGUUGCGAAGGCGAUCUACUAGAACAUUAUUGACGCUGAGACGCGAAAGCGUGGGGAGCAAACAGGAUUAGAUACCCGCGUAGUC